AUUAUUACUAUUAUUAUUACCCAGUGACUGCAUCACUAAGAAUUGUUGCAUCUUUUGCUAUCUUAAAGGUCAAAGACGAGUUCUACUCCUUUAAGUGCCAAGAAGAGGUCUUAUUCUGUCCUGCGCCAGAAGACACUGAACGGGAUUUAGUGAAAGAAGAGGAAGAACAGUUGAUGGAAGAAAGGAAAAAGAGAAAGGACGACAAGAAAAAGAAGGAAGCUGCUCAAAAGAAGGUAAUGUGUAUUUAAAUAUCAACAUUUAAUUUUAAAAAUGAAAAUUGCUUCACCUAAAGUUUUUUCCAAAAGCCUUUGUUGCAUUGUAUCUGCAAAGGGAUGCUCUCUCCACUGUACCACCUUGCUUAAUUAAUUAAGAAAACAUGAAGUCAAGAUAACCAAUUAGGAAGCUGUUACAAUAGUCAUUUCAGGGUUCAAAGGGACCUCAGUUGUUAUUUAGUCUAACCCAUCCCCUCAAAAGAAUACCUUUUACACAAUGCUAGGCAAAC
rnacentral:lncRNA from 1 species